GAUCAUGGCUCAGGAUGAACGCUGGCGGCGCGCUUAACACAUGCAAGUCGAACGGUUAAAGCACCUCCGGGUGUGCAUAAAGUGGCGAACGGCUGAGUAACACGUGGGCAACCUGCCCCCCGCACCGGGAUAGCCUCGGGAAACCGUGGGUAAUACCGGAUACUCCGCCACCCCCGCAUGGGGGAGGCGGGAAAGCGUACACGGCGGGGGAUGGGCCCGCGGCCUGUUAGCUCGUUGGCGGGGUAACGGCCCACCAAGGCGAUUAUGGGUAGCCGGGUUGAGAGACCGACCGGCCAGAUUGGGACUGAGACACGGCCCAGACUCCUACGGGAGGCAGCAGUGGGGAAUCUUGCACAAUGGGCGAAAGCCUGAUGCAAGCGACGCCGCGUGCGGGAUGAAGGCCCUCGGGUUGUAAACCGCUUUCAGCAGGGACGAGGCGCAAGUGACGGUACCUGCAGAAGAAGCCCCGGCUAACUACGUGCCAGCAGCCGC
rnacentral:rRNA from 1 species